CGGCGCACGGGUGCGUAACGCGUAUGCAACCUGCCCCCAUCAGGGGAAUAGCCCGCCGAAAGGCGGAUUAAUGCCCCAUAGGCCCAGGGCGCCGCAUGGCGCUAUGGGUAAAGCUCCGGCGGAUGGGGAUGGGCAUGCGUGCCAUUAGCUAGUUGGGCGGUAACGGCGCACCAAGGCGACGAUGGCUAGGGGGUCUGAGAGGAUGGUCCCCCACACUGGUACUGAGACACGGACCAGACUCCUACGGGAGGCAGCAGUGAGGAAUAUUGGUCAAUGGGCGGAAGCCUGAACCAGCCAUGCCGCGUGCAGGAUGACGGCCCUACGGGUUGUAAACUGCUUUUCCCCGGGAAGAAUAAGCCCCUCGUGAGGGGUGAUGCCGGUACCGGGGGAAUAAGGAUCGGCUAACUCCGUGCCAGCAGCCGC
rnacentral:rRNA from 1 species